AGGAAUAUUGGGCAAUGGUCGGAAGACUGACCCAGCCAUGCCGCGUGCAGGAAGACGGCCCUAUGGGUUGUAAACUGCUUUUGGCCGGGGAUAAACCUCUCGACGUGUCGGGAGUUGAAGGUACCGGUCGAAUAAGCAUCGGCUAACUCCGUGCCAGCAGCCGCGGUAAUACGGAGGAUGCAAGCGUUAUCCGGAUUCACUGGGUUUAAAGGGUGCGCAGGCGGGCGAAUAAGUCAGGGGUGAAAUCNUACAGCUUAACUGUAGAACUGCCUUUGAUACUGUUUGUCUGGAGUGAAGUUGGAGUGGGCGGAAUGUGUUAUGUAGCGGUGAAAUGNUUAGAUAUAACACAGAACACCGAUCGCGAAGGCAGCUCACUAAACUUUAACUGACGCUCAUGCACGAAAGCGUGGGGAUCAAACAGGAUUAGGAUACCCUGGUAGUGCCAUCGCUGUAAAGCGAUGAUCACUCGCUGUUGGCGAUAUACCAGUCAGUGGCUAAGCGAAAG
rnacentral:rRNA from 1 species